CAAAACGUAGCUUAACACAAGCACUCAGCUUACACCUGAAAGAUACCUGCUUGCCACCCAGGUCGUUUUGA
rnacentral:tRNA from 1 species